UUACGGAAGGCAGCAGUCGAGAAUUUUUCUCAAUGGGCGAAAGCCUGAAGGAGCGACGCCGCGUGGGGGAUGGAGGGCUUCGGCUCGUAAACCCCUGUCAUUUGCGAACAAACCUUUGUAUAUAAUAUUUACAAAGCUGAUUGUAGCAGAAGAGGAAGGGACGGCUAACUCUGUGCCAGCAGCCGCGGUAAUACAGAGGUCCCAAGCGUUGUUCGGAUUUACUGGGCGUAAAGGGUGCGUAGGUGGCAAGACAAGUCUGAUGUGAAAUCUCCGAGCUUAACUCGGAAACGGCAUUGGAAACUGUUUCGCUAGAGUGUUGGAGGGGGGACUGGAAUACUUGGUGUAGCAGUGAAAUGCGUAGAUAUCAAGUGGAACAUCAGUGGCGAAGGCGGGUCCCUGGACAAUCACUGACACUGAGGCACGAAAGCUAGGGGAGCAAACGGGAUUAGAUACCCGGGUAGUCCU
rnacentral:rRNA from 1 species